rnacentral:rRNA from 1 species
GACGAACGCUGGCGGCGUGCUUAACACAUGCAAGUCGAACGGAAAGGCCCUGCUUUUGUGGGGUGCUCGAGUGGCGAACGGGUGAGUAACACGUGAGUAACCUGCCCUUGACUUUGGGAUAACUUCAGGAAACUGGGGCUAAUACCGGAUAGGAGCUCCUGCUGCAUGGUGGGGGUUGGAAAGUUUCGGCGGUUGGGGAUGGACUCGCGGCUUAUCAGCUUGUUGGUGGGGUAGUGGCUUACCAAGGCUUUGACGGGUAGCCGGCCUGAGAGGGUUACCGGCCACAUUGGGACUGAGAUACGGCCCAGACUCCUACGGGAGGCAGCAGUGGGGAAUAUUGCACAAUGGGCGGAAGCCUGAUGCAGCAACGCUGCGUGCGGGAUGACGGCCUUCGGGUUGUAAACCGCUUUCGCCUGUGACGAAGCGUGAGUGACGGUAAUGGGUAAAGAAGCACCGGCUAACUACGUG